CGAUUCGAGUGGCGGACGGGUGAGUAACGCGUGGGUAACCUGCCUUACACAGGGGAUAACACCUGGAAACAGGUGCUAAUACCGCAUAAGCGCACAGGGCCGCAUGGCCCGGUGUGAAAAACUCCGGUGGUGUAAGAUGGACCCGCGUCUGAUUAGCUUGUUGGCGGGGUAGAGGCCCACCAAGGCGACGAUCAGUAGCCGGCCUGAGAGGGUGGACGGCCACAUUGGGACUGAGACACGGCCCAAACUCCUACGGGAGGCAGCAG
rnacentral:rRNA from 1 species